rnacentral:rRNA from 1 species
UAAGGAAUAUUGGACAAUGGGCGGAAGCCUGAUCCAGCCAUGCCGCGUGAAGGAUGAAGGCGCUCAGCGUUGUAAACUUCUUUUGGAUGGGGACAAACCACUCGACGUGUCGGGUGCUGAGGGUACCAUCAGAAUAAGCACCGGCUAACUCCGUGCCAGCAGCCGCGGUAAUACGGAGGGUGCGAGCGUUAUCCGGAAUCACUGGGUUUAAAGGGUGCGUAGGCGGUCCGAUAAGUCAGUUGUGAAAUUCCUCGGCUCAACCGAGUGGACUGCGAUUGAUACUGUCAGACUUGAAUCAGGUUGAGGUAGGCGGAAUGUGACAUGUAGCGGUGAAAUGCUUAGAUAUGUCAUAGAACACCGAUUGCGAAGGCAGCUUGCUGGGCUUCGAUUGACGCUGAGGCACGAAAGCGUGGGGAGCAAACAG